CAGGCCUAACACAUGCAAGUCGAGCGGCAGCGGAAAGUAGCUUGCUACUUUGCCGGCGAGCGGCGGACGGGUGAGUAAUGUCUGGGAAACUGCCUGAUGGAGGGGGAUAACUACUGGAAACGGUAGCUAAUACCGCAUAAUGUCGCAAGACCAAAGAGGGGGACCUUCGGGCCUCUUGCCAUCGGAUGUGCCCAGAUGGGAUUAGCUAGUAGGUGGGGUAACGGCUCACCUAGGCGACGAUCCCUAGCUGGUCUGAGAGGAUGACCAGCCACACUGGAACUGAGACACGGUCCAGACUCCUACGGGAGGCAGCAGUGGGGAAUAUUGCACAAUGGGCGCAAGCCUGAUGCAGCCAUGCCGCGUGUAUGAAGAAGGCCUUCGGGUUGUAAAGUACUUUCAGCGGGGAGGAAGGUGUUGAGGUUAAUAACCUCAGCAAUUGACGUUACCCGCAGAAGAAGCACCGGCUAACUCCGUGCCAGCAGCCGCGGUAAU
rnacentral:rRNA from 1 species